CAGGAUAGUUUCAAACACACAAGACACGGAUUAUUGGGUACGGUGUGUGAGAAACUCUGAGAAUACUAAAUGAAAGGGCCGGUUGUGUGGCCUGUCCCAUGUUAGGUAGGCUUUCUGGGUUCCUUCCUCUGGAAGUGGGACCAGCUUCCUAAUUCCACGACUCCAUGAUUCUUUCUGACCUGAGUGUGGAGGGACUUCUGUUUGAAUGUUUCCCCCUUUGGACCCCAUAACUGAAUGCUAAAUUUGAAUUCUAGCUCUGGGGGUAUAGUUAAAAUAUCAAGUACUGAAGAUUUCCAAGAUUCGUGUAAUAAUACUUGGUGAGCCACCCACCAUUUUGCCAGUCCUAAAUUUUCCACAGUGUGGUUUCACGUUUGUGAAGGUCUGAAAUCUUGGUAUGUCCGGAGGGGUCUCGUUGCUUUACGCCAAAGAACUUAGCUGCAGUGAUCCCUCCCCUCAUCCCCACUCCUACCCCAUCUGAAGGUCACAGGGUGAAGAUGGAGGAGGUCUCCUAUUCUCCACCCUGUCCCUAGAUGACAGUAGAGAACAACAGUAGGAAGCCGGGUCUAGAAACACCAUGCCCUCCUUUUGUGGAGAGACCAGCUGGCUACUAAGAAUGUUGUCGAGGCUGGCAAAAAGGAUACUACACAGAAAGCAAAUGCAAGAAAGCAUUAAAUAUCAAUACAUUAAGGGCUACAACAAGAAAUUAAAAAAUUUUUUUUUCUUUUAAUCUUUAUAUUUGAGAGAGAAAAACAGAGUGCAAGCCGACGAGGGGCAGAGACAGAGGGAGACACAGAAUCGGAAGCAGGCUCCGGCUCUGAGCUGUCAGCACAGAGCUGGACACCAGGUUCGAAGUCAUGAACCUUGAGAUAUGACCUGAGCCGAAGUCGGACGCUUCACUGACUGAGCCACCCAGGCGCCCCAAGAACUUUUUAAAAAGGGAAGUGUGGUUAAUAUAAAAUAAACCCCAUCUCCCACAGCAGAUCAUGGCUUUCAGGAUAUGAGCUCAUGAACAACAGAGUGGAAAAGAGUCUUUUUUUUUAAUUUAUUAUCAAUAUUAUUGUUGGAUUCUCUUGUAAAUUCCCUAUUUUCCAUGAAACCCGGAACUUGCCAAUGAAGGUUUUAGCUAACAGGACACUUUUCAGGAAUGUAUCUGUUACUACCUCCAGUUGGUGAGAGAUGACUGUGACAGAUUUAUCAUGUUUUAAUAGAGAGCUAAAGAGGAAGAGUGGAGGGGCGAGGACACAGAUUUAUCGCCACUUACUUGUUCAUUUGGAACUUUUACUGACAGAAAAAAUAUUUCUUCUUUUUUUUUUUUAAAGAUUUUAAAAUCUCAUUCUCUAGGAAGUAAAUUCAGGAGUAAGAAAUGCCACACCUGUUCUACAUAGUACAGUUGAUUGUUAAUUUCAUUGACUAUUGACAUGCUGAGUGGUGGGUUAAGCUUGUAACCCAUCUCUUUACUCAAGUGAGAAACCAACAUUAAGAAAGAUAGGACGUGCAUUUUUCCCCUUGAUAAAGACACCUGCUGUUCCAGUGUCAUAGAAACAGGGAAGAUCUAGAUAGAGAUUUAGAAGGGUAGAAUUUCCCGGAAUCACAUUCUCUCAGGAUUGAAAGGAAUAUUAAAUGUCAUUGACUCUUCAACUCAAGGCAGUUUAGAAUUGUAGAAAGGAUGUCUGCUAUGGAAUUGAGGGGACCUGGGUCAGAUCAUAGCCUUGCCACAUCGUAGCUAUGUGUUUUAGGAAAUUUAAUCUCUCUGAGCCUUAGUUUCUUGCCUAUAACUUGUGAAUAGUGACUACAUUAUAAGUUUGGGGAGGAUUGAAGAUACUGUAUGUAAAGGACCUAGGACAGACACAAUAGGCAUUUAGUAAAUGACUGUGGUGGUUGUUAUCAAAAUUGUGCCACCAACUGGUCAUAAAACUUAAUGGAACAUUCCCAGUGAUGUGAUUCCCAACUGUUGGGAAGCCCAGGUCAUGUUUGAAGAGCUCUUCUGUGUUCGCCCUUUUACAGAGCCGAAUUCCUUCCCCCCUAGAACUUCGAUCUGCUGUUCCCAUUCUGGCCAGCGGGGCUGCGUAGGCUAUGUCUGUCACCCGAUGGAAUGCGCCACCGAGAAUGGAACAAAUAUGCCUUCAGAGUGGUAUGACUGGGGUACCUGUAUGAAGGCUGCUUCACUCUGGAGGUUUGGACCUGUGUGGGCAUGUCUGGUAAAAUGAUAGGAUGGAUCUGCUGGGAGAGGACUUGCAGAAUACUGGGGACCUUAGCGAGAAAAUUCCUGAAGGUGGAAGACUGUAGAAAUGGUAAUAAGGCCUCAGCUGUUAUAAGAGAGGGGUGACUUCAGUACUUGUGGUAAAGAGGCAGGAUAGGUAGGGUCAAGUGGUAAGAAAUACAGGAGAUAUAUUUGUGUAGAUCACUUAACAGUAGUAUGUAAUCAGUAAAUACUCAUUAUUAUUUGUAUUAUAGUACUCACCCCAGGCUGUCCCUAUAAAAACACAUAUGCAGAGACCUAAGAGAAAAAGUGUGAAGAUGCCGGAAGUCUUCAUCAGACCAUAUAGAUGUCCUUUAAUGACCUUAUAGAUUGCUAAAUGUUACCAACAAAUGUUAAUAAUGAUAAGGGGUGGUAGAUCAUAUCAUUAUUGCUCUUAUCUCCAUUUUUUGUUGUCAUUAAUUUUAUAUUGUGGUCAGUUGGAAAACAGGACUUAAUUUUGAAAAUAUUCAAAUAUUUAAGUAGACUUUUCUUUCUUUUAUCAGUUUUUAUUUUAUUUUAAAUUUUAUUUUUUAUUUUUUAAAAUUUACAUCCUAAUUAGCGUAUCGUGUAACAAUGAUUUCAGGAGUAGAUUCCUUACUGCCCCUUCCCCAUUUAGCCCAUUCCCCCGUCCCACAACCCCUCCAGUAACCCUCAGUUUGUUCUCCAUAUUUAUGAGUCUCUUCUGUUUUGUCCCUGUCCCUGUUUUUAUAUUACUUUUGUUUCCCUUCCCUUAUGUUCAUCUGUUUUGUCUCUUAAAGUCCUCAUAGCAGUGAAGUCAUAUGAUUUUUGUCUUUCUCUGACUAAUUUCGCUUAGCAUAUUACCCUCCAGUUCCAUCCACGUAGUUGCAUUAAGUAGAUUUUUCUAAGCAGAAAGAGGAACGACAUUCAUGCAAAUAGGCAAGGAACUUAAUUGUCAUUGGUGGGCAUUAUGGAUUUUGCAUUCUUACAGAAGCCAACUCGUGAACUGUGAUUUUAUUAUCACAGAAAUUAAUUUCUUGCCAGGAGUCACUUUCUGCUUUUCUCAGCAUUUGAUAUAUGCAAGAUCAUUAUUUCCUGUAUCCACCCUAAAUAGCUUACUUCUUUCCAGGCAAGUAGAGAUUUCAGAAAGACGAUGGGGAAAUUCUUUUCCUUCUGAUUGGUUCUUUGGCCCUUUUCAUACCCCUCCCCCACUCCCUGCAGGGGGUGGUCAUUAAAAUGCCUCAGACAACUGUGGAGCCUUCAGGAUGGUAACGGCGAUAUGAUCAUGUUGCACACCCAUUCAAAGUUCUCUGUUCCAGGGUCAAGGUUUGGAUGAUGUCACACAGCCUGUGGAUCUCCUGCCUCCUGGACUGGUUUCUCUGUUGUGAGGAGGAUAGGGAAUGAGAGAAAGAUGAACCCACUGUAAGUCUGAGGAUGACAUUUAACUACAGUCUGGUAAAUUUUGAGAUAUUCCCAUGUUGAUAAAUUAAUCUAGUCCUUCUAACCUGGUAUGUAACACUCUAUUGCAUGAAAAUAUCACAUUUUACUUGAACAUAUUGAUGGACGUUUAGGUUCUGACUUUUUGCUCUUUCAGAUACUUGGGCGCACAUCCCUGUGUAUGUGUUUGUAUGACGUAUACGAACGUUCCUGUAGGAUGGGGGUCUUUAAACUUACUUGCUAGCUUACCCCGCAACUUGGAAGAACUUUGCCUCCUUAUACAUUUAGAAUUGGAAUUAAACUUUUUACCGCGACUUCAACAUUAGACAUUUCUGAAUGUUGUCAACAAAUGUUAGUAAUAAAAACUGGUGGUAGAUAAUAUCA